UACGGGGGGGGCAAGCGUUGUUCGGAAUUACUGGGCGUAAAGGGCUCGUAGGCGGCCAACUAAGUCGGACGUGAAAUCCCCAGGCUCAACCUGGGAACUGCGUCCGAUACUGGAUGGCUUGGAUCCGGGAGAGGGAUGCAGAAUUCCAGGUGUAGCGGUGAAAUGCGUAGAUAUCUGGAGGAAUACCGGUGGCGAAGGCGGCAUCCUGGACCGGCAUUGACGCUGAGGAGCGAAAGCCAGGGGAGCAAACGGG
rnacentral:rRNA from 1 species